CCCAGACUCCUACGGGAGGCAGCAGUGGGGGAUAUUGCACAAUGGGGGAAACCCUGAUGCAGCGACGCCGCGUGAGUGAAGAAGUAUUUCGGUAUGUAAAGCUCUAUCAGCAGGGACGAAAAUGACGGUACCUGAGUAAGAAGCCCCGGCUAACUACGUGCCAGCAGCCGCGGUAAUACGUAGGGGGCAAGCGUUAUCCGGAUUUACUGGGUGUAAAGGGUGCGCAGGUGGCAGGGCAAGUCAGAUGUGAAAGCCCGGGGCUCAACCCCGGUAUUGCAUUUGAAACUGUCCGGCUAGAGUGCAGGAGAGGUAAGCGGAAUUCCUAGUGUAGCGGUGAAAUGCGUAGAUAUUAGGAGGAACACCAGUGGCGAAGGCGGCUUACUGGACUGUAACUGACACUGAGGCACGAAAGCGUGGGGAGCAAACAGGAUUAGAUACCCGUGUA
rnacentral:rRNA from 1 species